rnacentral:rRNA from 1 species
UACGGAAGGGGCAAGCGUUGUUCGGAAUCAUUGGGCGUAAAGGGCGCGUAGGUGGUUCUGUGUGUCUACCGUGAAAGCGUACGGCUCAACCGUAUUUUGUCGGUAGAAACUGCAGGACUUGAGGCUGGGAGGGGCUGGUGGAAUUCCCUGUGUAGCGGUGAAAUGCGUAGAGAUGGGGGAGAACACUCGUGGCGAAGGCGGCCAGCUAGACCAGUUCUGACACUGAGGCGCAACAGCGUGGGGAGCAAACAGG